rnacentral:misc_RNA from 1 species
GAUGAAGAACGUAGCGAAAUGCGAUAAGUAAUGUGAAUUGCAGAAUUCAGUGAAUCAUCGAAUCUUUGAACGCACAUUGCGCCCGCCAGUAUUCUGGCGGGCAUGCCUGUUCGAGCGUCAUUUCAACCAUCAAGCCCCCCGGCUUGUGUUGGGGACCUGCGGCUGCCGCAGGCCCUGAAAAGCAGUGGCGGGCUCGCUGUCACACCGAGCGUAGUAGAUCUCAUCUCGCUCAGGGCGUGCUGCGGGUUCCGGCCGUUAAACCACCUUCAUAACCCAAGGUUGACCUCGGAUCAGGUAGGAAGACCCGCUGAACUUAAGCAUAUCAAAAGCGGAAGA